rnacentral:rRNA from 1 species
CCUACGGGAGGCUGCAGUGGGGAAUAUUGGACAAUGGGCGAAAGCCUGAUCCAGCCAUGCCGCGUGUGUGAAGAAGGCCUUCGGGUUGUAAAGCACUUUUAGUGGGGAAGAAAGCCUUGGGGCUAAUACCCUCGAGGAAGGACAUCACCCACAGAAGAAGCACCGGCUAACUCCGUGCCAGCAGCCGCGGUAAUACGGAGGGUGCGAGCGUUAAUCGGAAUUACUGGGCGUAAAGCGCGCGUAGGCGGUCUGAUAAGCCGGUUGUGAAAGCCCCGGGCUCAACCUGGGAACGGCAUCCGGAACUGUCAGGCUAGAGUGCAGGAGAGGAAGGUAGAAUUCCCGGUGUAGCGGUGAAAUGCGUAGAGAUCGGGAGGAAUACCAGUGGCGAAGGCGGCCUUCUGGACUGACACUGACGCUGAGGUGCGAAAGCGUGGGUAGCAAACAGGAUUAGAUACCCCGGUAGUC